UCCAGUGUAGCGCAGUGGUUUCAAUGUUGGACUAUGACUCAGGAGGCCAGGGUUCGAAUCCCCGUGCAGCCUUGGAA